AUGAAACUUGCUACAGUACUGCAGGACAAACACUGUAAACUCAACACACUGAUUAUGAAUAACAACAAUAUCACAGAAGAAGAUUGUCGUUUAUUGACUGAAGCUUUAAAUUCAAACCCUUCAAAUCUGAUAGAACUGAAUCUGAGUGGAACUAAACUCAGAAACUCAGGAAUGAAGAUCUUCUCAACUCUGUUUAAGAAUGAACAGUGUAGACUGAAAAACGCUGAAGUUUAAUUGCAUCAGUAUUACAGAAGAAGGUUGUGCCGCUCUGGCGUUAGCAUUUAAUUCAAACACUUCAAACCUGAUAGAGCUGGAACUGAGUGGAAAUAAACUCGGAAACUCUGGAGUGACUCAAAUCUCCACUCUACU